GACAGAGGGUGCAAACGUUGUUCGGAAUUACUGGGCGUAAAGCGCGUGUAGGCGGCAGCGUGUGUCGGGCGUGAAAUCCCACGGCUUAACCGUGGAAGUGCACCCGAAACUGCGCAGCUAGAGUCCUGGAGAGGAAGAUGGAAUACUUGGUGUAGAGGUGAAAAUUCGUAGAUAUCAAGUGGAACACCGGUGGCGAAGGCGGUCUUCUGGACAGUGACUGACGUGAGACGCGAAAAGCGUGGGGAGCAAACAGG
rnacentral:rRNA from 1 species